rnacentral:rRNA from 1 species
AAAUACUAAUUGGUGACCGAUAGCGAACUAGUACCGUGAGGGAAAGGUGAAAAGAACCCCGGGAGGGGAGUGAAAUAGAAUCUGAAACCCUAUGUUUACAAGCAGACAGAGCGAUUUAAGGCGCGAUGUCGUACUUUUUGUAGAACGGUCCAGCGAGUUAUAGUGUAUGGCAAGGUUAAGUUUUAAGUAAGGAACGGAGCCGAAGCGAAAGCGAGUCUGAAUAGGGCGAAUUAAGUCAUGCGUUAUAGACCCGAAACCGGGUGACCUAUCCAUGGUCAGGAUGAAGCAAGAGUAAAAUCUUGUGGAGGUCCGAACUGAUUGUCGUUAAAAAGGCACCGGAUGAACUGUGGAUAGCGGAGAAAUUCCAAUCGAACUCGGAGAUAGCUGGUUCUCCUCGAAAUAGCUUUAGGGCUAGCCUUGGAGGAAGACGAAUGGAGGUAGAGCACUGAAUGAGGUAGGGGCCUAACCAGGUUACCGAACUCUAUCAAACUCCGAAUGCCAUUCGUUAAUAUCCAGGAGUCAGACUACGGGAGCUAAGUUCCGUGGUCAAAAGGAAAAGAGUCCAGAUCGUCAAUUAAGGUCCCAAAUGGAUAGCUAAGUGGAAAACGAUGUGAUUUUGCGUAAACAACCAGGAUGUUGGCUCAGAAGCAGCCAUUCAUUAAAAGAGUGCGUAAUAGCUCACUGGUCGAGUGAAGUUGCGCGGAAAAUUACCGGGGCUAAGUUAUCAACCGAAAUUGCGGAUUUGUAAUUUAUUACAAGUGGUAGAGGAGCAUUCUAUUGUAGGAUGAAGUCAGAGCGUGAGCACUGGUGGACGAGAUAGAAGAGAGAAUGCUGGAAUAAGUAGCGAGAGCAGGGUGAGAAUCCCUGCCGUCGAAAGUCUAAGGUUUCCUGGGGAAGGUUCGUCCGCCCAGGGUUAGUCAGGACCUAAGGAGAGGCCGAAAGGCGUAUCUGAUGGAUAGCAGGUUGAUAUUCCUGCACUAUAUAAUACUUAAAAGAUGCAACUGACGCAGAAGUGGAAGGUGAGCAAGGAAAUGGAAAAACUUGUUCCGCAAGGGGGAGUGAAAAUAAAGUAACGAAGCACCAAGAAGCACGCUGACGAGAAAAGGUUGUAGAUCUUGUAUUAUAUACUUGUACCGCAAACCGACACAGGUAGAUGAGGAGAGGAUCCUAAGACGAUCGGGAGAAGCAUUGUUAAGGAACUCGGCAAAUUGACCCCGUAACUUUGGAAGAAGGGGUACUGGUGUAACAGCCAGUCGCAGAGAAUAGUCCCAAGCAACUGUUUAACAAAAACAUAGGUUUCUGCUAAAUCGAAAGAUGAAGUAUAGGAGCUGACGCCUGCCCAGUGCUGGAAGGUUAAGGGAACGUGUUAAUAGUAAUAUGAAGCACCGAACUGAAGCCCCAGUGAACGGCGGCCGUAACUAUAACGGUCCUAAGGUAGCGAAAUUCCUUGUCAGGUAAGUUCUGACCCGCACGAAAGGCGUAAUGAUUUGGGAGCUGUCUCGACAAUGUCCCCGGCGAAAUUGUAGUACUAGUGAAGAUGCUAGUUACCUGCGACAAGACAGAAAGACCCCAUGGAGCUUUACUGCAGUUUGAUACUGAGUCAGGCUAAUUUAUGUACAGGAUAGUUAGGAGGCUUUGAGGCUUAAGCGCCAGCUUAAGAAGAGCCAACGUUGGGAUACUAACCUUAAAUUAGUUUGAAUCUAACUCGUGAUCGUAAUCCGGUCAGAGGACAAUGUCAGACGGGCAGUUUGACUGGGGCGGUCGCCUCCUAAAGAGUAACGGAGGCGUUCAAAGGUUCCCUCAGCGCGGACAGAAAUCGCGCAAUAGAGUGUAAAGGCAGAAGGGAGCUUAACUGGGAGACUUACAAGUCGAGCAGAUACGAAAGUAGGACUUAGUGAUCCGGUGGAUUAUGAAUGGAAAUGCCAUCGCUCAACGGACAAAAGUUACCCUGGGGAUAACAGGCUUAUCUCCCCCAAGAGUUCACAUCGACGGGGAGGUUUGGCACCUCGAUGUCGGCUCAUCGCAUCCUGGAGCGGA